GAGAAAUUAUCUGUCGAAGGGAGUGGUGACGGAGGAGAGAGAAGAGAAUGAGGAGUGAGCUGGCAAAGGAAGAGAAUGAAAGGAAGGGAAGAAAGAGACUGUAAUGAACUAGAAAGGAAGAAGAGGAAGGGAGACAAGAAUGAGAGGUGAGGCGUGAGAAAUUAUCUGUCGAAGGGAGAGGAAGGGAGUGGUGACAGGAGAGAGAAGAGAAUGAGGAGUGAGCUAGCAAAGGAAGAGAAUGAAAGGAAAGGAAGAAAGAGACAAGCAAUGAACUAGAAAGUGAAAAGAGGAAGGGAAACAAGAAUGAGAGGAGAGGAGUGAGAAAUUAACUGCCAAAGGAAGGGGAAUAAGUUACACCCUCCUUAACCCGGUAGCAGCGGGGAUCAUGUUUCUUAAUGGUCCCUCUAAGCGAGAAAAAUGAGAAAAAAUCAUCACUCACACAAACCAUUUCAUAAUAUAUAUCGAAGCAUUUGUGAUCAGUUUAUGUAUCAUCUAUUUUGGGGGGUUUAAAUCAUGGCACAAAUUUGGCCCGUCGCUGCUGCCGGGUUAAAAGAAUCACAAGACAUGAAUUACGACUCAGUUACAAUUAAUACAUUUCUCAGCCACUGUACUUACUCUCAACAUAAGCUCUCGUUAACCUGGUGCCAAGGUGACUUACUGAAUGCCUGAGUGUAGUUCCUUACCCGUGUGUACUUUCCUCUUCCUGCAUAUCAAGGUGUGCCAAGAUCAGAGCUGGAUAAUGCAAAUGCAAAACAUGGCAUCAGUUGUGUGUUCUGGAUGCUAUUAUUAUUAUUAUUAUUAUUAUUAUUUAUUUAUUUAUUAUUCUUUUUACAGUAGCAAAGUCAGCUUAUUCUGGCUGACAGUUGGUGAUUUUAUGAAGUUUGCCAAAACAGAAUACAUAAAGAGAAAGAUUAGAAGAUUUUGGUAAAAUUUAAGUUUAGAUAUUUUGUGAUGAACAGGUUGAAAAUAAUUUCUCGUUACUGAUCCAUGACAAUAAUAUAUUGCUAUUACUCUGGCUAACAGUUAGUGAUUAUAACAAGCUUUCCAGACUAGUGUAAACACAGGUUUAGUGUUCCUAGUGAAGGAGUAGCCAGAAAUCAUUUUCAAACCCUUCAUUACAAAAAAACGCCUCGUGAACACCAGAAAACCCUCGCAGUGUCCAGGACAACACGACCAGUGCCACGCUUUGCAUUUACAUGCCCUGACUCUCAACAAUAAUAGUGAUACUGUCAAAUGCAGCUAUAUAUAUAUAUCUAUAUAUAUAUAUAUAUAUAUAUAUAUAUAUAUAUAUAUAUAUAUAUAUAUAUAUAUAUAUAUAUAUAUAUACUACUGCAAUCUUAAUGUAUUUAUAUGUGCCUGCUAUACUGAAUUUACUGACUUAGAGGAAAAGCCUGUAGUAGCCUCUCUAUAUACUGUAUGAGAAAAGAAAUUGAUUGUCUUACUGUGUGGGAGAAGAUAAUUAUGGGGAAUAUUGUUGUGUUUUGUAUCAGAGAGUGAUGGGGAGACUUAAGAAUGUUGUGUUUUGUAUCAGAGUGAUGGGGAGACUUAAGAAUAUUGUGUUUUGUAUCAGAGAGUGAUGGGGAGACUUAAGAAUGUUGUGUUUUGUAUCAGAGAGUGAUGGGGAGACUUAAGAAUGUUGUGUUUUGUAUCAGAGAGUGAUGGGGAGACUUAAGAAUGUUGUGUUUUGUAUCAGAGAGUGAUGGGGAGACUUAAGAAUGUUGUGUUUUGUAUCAGAGAGUGAUGGGGAGACUUAAGAAUGUUGUGUUUUGUAUCAGAGAGUGAUGGGGAGACUUAAGAAUAUUGUGUUUUGUAUCAGAGAGUGAUGGGGAGACUUAAGAAUACUGUGUUUUGUAUCAGAGAAGAGAGUGAUGGGGAGACUUAAGAAUAUUGUGUUUUGUAUCAGAGAAGAGAGUGAUGGGGAGACUUAAGAAUAUUGUGUUUUGUAUCAGAGAGUGAUGGGGAGACUUAAGAAUACUGUGUUUUGUAUCAGAGAGUGAUGGGGAGACUAAAGAAUAUUGUGUUUUGUAUCAGAGUGAUGGGGAGACUUAAGAAUACUGUGUUUUGUAUCAGAGAGUGAUGGGGAGACUUAAGAAUGUUGUGUUUUGUAUCAGAGAGUGAUGGGGAGACUUAAGAAUGUUGUGUUUUGUAUCAGAGAGUGAUGGGGAGACUUAAGAAUAUUGUGUUUUGUAUCAGAGAGUGAUGGGGAGACUUAAGAAUAUUGUGUUUUGUAUCAGAGAGUGAUGGGGAGACUUAAGAAACUUGUUGCUUAGUGUACUGGAAAAGAAGUUUGUGGGCAGACUAAAGCAAAUUAUAGCCUUUUUAUGAUGUAGAUUAAUGUAUAAUGAUAUGACAGGGUAACUACUACUGCUACUACUACUAUUACUACUACUACUUCUGCUACUACUAUGACUACUGCUGCUGCUGCUACUAUAUUAUUUCUGCUAAAGUGGGAGAAAAUAAUGAUAGAAAAAUGUAAUAAAAAUAGUACUGCUUCACCUGUUGUCAGUCCCGGUCAGGUAAUUUUUUUUUAUAAUAAAGAGAUGAAGGAAAAAAAGA